UACAGAGGGUGCGAGCGUUGUUCGGAAUCAUUGGGCGUAAAGCGCGCGUAGGUGGCUUCGUAAGUCCGUUGUGAAAGUCAAAGGCUCAACCUUUGAAUGCCGAUGGAUACUGCGGAGCUAGAGUACGGGAAGAGGCGAGUGGAAUUCCUGGUGUAGCGGUGGAAUGCGCAGAUAUCAGGAGGAACACCAAUAGCGAAGGCAGCUCGCUGGGACGUUACUGACACUAAGGCGCGAAAGCGUGGGGAGCGAACGAGGAAGUUAGGAU
rnacentral:rRNA from 1 species